CUGACCCUUCCAAGCCCGAGUCCGGGUCUGCGGGCUGGGGGGCGUCGUGUCGGCGCGCCGACGACUCGGCGGCGACGCGGAGCGCUAGGCGCGGUUAUCUGCGUGGUUCCAGUCAAGAUGUCACUCCGUAGAUCCCCCGCGAUGUGCAGCUAAUAGAUUAUGCAUUGUGGGGCAGUCGAGUCCCCGGGCAGAACAGAGAGGGAGUAGAAACAUUUCCAGCCUUCUCCUUCGGCUCCUGACCGGCCUGCCCAAUGCUUUUGAUGGGACUGGGGAGAAGGCAAUGGCACCCCACUCCAGUACUCUUGCCUGGAAAAUCCCAUGGAUGGAGGAGCCUGGUGCGCUGCAGUCCAUGGGAUCGCUAAGAGUCAGGUACGACUGAGCGACUUCACUUUCGCUUUUCACUUUCAUGCAUUGGAGAAGGAAAUGGCAACCCACUCAAGUAUUCUUGCCUGGAGAAUCCCAGGGACAGAGGAG
ensembl:lncRNA